UAAAAAACGAUGAAAAGAUGAGUAGUGACAGUAGCCUGUUAAGAGAGUUUCUGGUUGGUGUGAAGAAACCUGGUAAUAGUUACGAAUAUGGUCUUGAAGUGAGGGAUGUCGAGCGAUGCAAGAUAUCCAUGGGGACGCCCAUUACCGCGUGAGGGUAUGAUUGUACCCGAUAAGGGAAUGCAUGUGAGUGCAUUCCAAAAUAAGGUGGUAACACGGCCAAGAUCGUCCUUACU
rnacentral:ncRNA from 1 species